AAUAACACCUCAUUAACUGCUUCCACUACGGCGAGUGAAACAGUCCACCGCAGCUCGCGUGUUCCGAGGGAAAAAGAGUUGUUGGGUUUUGACGGAAACAGUUUCCAGCGAACGAUCGGAAGGGAAAGUUCGUAGCUUUCGCAGGCGAAGUCACGAAGCCUUCUCCGCCGCCAAAGGGUCUAUUCAGAGCUACCUCUGAAUCUGAUGAAGCCAACGAUAUUCAGAAGAUAGAUUGUGAAGCUAAAAGAAGCAUUAACCUAUAUAGAGGACAUAAUUAUUAAGAAGAAAGAGAAGAGAUGCAGCACCAGAUUGAUAUUGCUAAGUCAGAAUUUAAAAAAAGAGAGAGAGAGAAGAAGAAUCUAUAAACAUUUAUAUGCUAAGUGACAUUUCUUUGAAGCAUAAGACGUCUAGGCCAUGAAGACUAAAAGUUGAUAUGAAGGAGAAGCAGCUCCAUGAGCUUGAGGAUAAGCUUGUUGUGACUUGUGACCGAGGCAGGAGCAGGCAUAUACGCCUUCACGAUAACUAGUCUCCUAGGUCUAUGGGGAUACCAUGUUUAAGUCACGUUACAGUUACAAUGUUCGAAGCACCUUGAUGAUCAGAAGAAGGCUGUUGUAGAUUCCAGAAUGCAGGAGGUUGAAAUGGAGCUUGAACAGAGGUGAAACUUAUAUACGUAUGAAAUUCGUUUCAGUGUAGGAACGGAAGAAGGUAAAGCACAAGCAUCAACAGGUUCCAUGGAAAAAUAAGCUGAGAGUGUCAAUGCCGAUAUCAGAAUAGUGCCAAGUCCCAAGGAUAAUUAUACUCCACCGCUAUGUGACAAUAACAGGGAAAGUGGAAAUGCUGUAAGGCAGUAACACAUGAGAAGAUUGUUAAGAUUGAAGCAGAGACUGAGUUCAAGGAUACAAGUAUGGGAAAGAGGCCAGUCAAAGUCUCAAAGAUCCACCGUUAGAAGCAGGAGGCAGCGGUGAAGAGGAUGAUCGAACUUUCACUCUUUCAGCAUGAUCAAAGAAGCUUUGGGUCUUUCUCACAACCUAAUCAUUUUCUCCCUUUCUCUUUCUCGGAAAGACAAAACUAUCCCAUAAGUAGGAGUUUCCUGAGAGAAAAAAACAUCCUGUUAUGUGUUGUUUACUUUAUUUAUAAAACUUUACUUUCUUUUUCAAUCAACUGAAACAAAAGCAAGUGUAAUCUUGGAACC